CGGCUCGUAAAGCUCUGUUGUUGGAGAAGAACGUGACGUGAGAGUAACUGUUCACGCAGUGACGGUAUCCAACCAGAAAGUCACCGGCUAACUACGUGCC
rnacentral:rRNA from 1 species